GUUGUAUGGUUAAGUGACUAAGCGUACACGGUGGAUGCCUGGGCAGUCAGAGGCGAUGAAGGACGUACUAACUUGCGAUAAGCGCAGAUAAGGCAGUAAGAGCCGUUUGAGUCUGCGAUUUCCGAAUGGGGAAACCCAACUGCAUAAGCAGUUACUGUUAACUGAAUACAUAGGUUAACAGAGCAAACCGGGGGAACUGAAACAUCUAAGUACCCCGAGGAGAAGAAAUCAACCGAGAUUCCGGUAGUAGCGGCGAGCGAACCUGGAUUAGCCCUUAAGCACUCGGUGAAGUAGGUGAACAAGCUGGAAAGCUUGGCGAUACAGGGUGAUAGCCCCGUAACCGACGCUUCAUCGAGCGUGAAAUCGAGUAGGGCGGGACACGUGAUAUCCUGUCUGAAUAUGGGGGGACCAUCCUCCAAGGCUAAAUACUCCUGACUGACCGAUAGUGAACCAGUACCGUGAGGGAAAGGCGAAAAGAACCCCUGUGAGGGGAGUGAAAUAGAACCUGAAACCGUGUACGUACAAGCAGUAGGAGCACCUUCGUGGUGUGACUGCGUACCUUUUGUAUAAUGGGUCAGCGACUUAUAUUCAGUGGCAAGGUUAACCGUAUAGGGGAGCCGUAGCGAAAGCGAGUCUUAACUGGGCGCUCAGUCUCUGGAUAUAGACCCGAAACCGGGUGAUCUAGCCAUGGGCAGGUUGAAGGUUGAGUAACAUCAACUGGAGGACCGAACCGACUAAUGUUGAAAAAUUAGCGGAUGACUUGUGGCUAGGGGUGAAAGGCCAAUCAAACUCGGAGAUAGCUGGUUCUCCCCGAAAGCUAUUUAGGUAGCGCCUCGGACGAAUACUACUGGGGGUAGAGCACUGUUAAGGCUAGGGGGUCAUCCCGACUUACCAACCCUUUGCAAACUCCGAAUACCAGUAAGUACUAUCCGGGAGACACACGGCGGG
rnacentral:rRNA from 1 species